rnacentral:sRNA from 1 species
GCUGGGUGUGGUGGCACACACCUGUAAUCCCAGCUGCUGGGGAGGUUGAGGCAGGAGGAUUGAGAGUUCAAAGUGAGCCUCAGCAACUUAUCAAGGCCCUCAAGCAACUCAGCUAGACCCUAUCUCUA